GGUUGUGGCUCAGUGGCAGAGCACUUGCCUCUCACAUGUGAGGCACUGAGUUCAAUCCUCAGUACCUCA
rnacentral:tRNA from 1 species